rnacentral:tRNA from 1 species
CAGAAGAUAGUUUAUGUAAAAUACUAGUUUUGGGUAUUAGGGAAAAAUAUUUGUUUUCUUCUGA